AUUUAUAUAGUAUAAUAAAUAUUACAAUUAACUUCCAAUUAAUAAAUUUAAUCUAUUAAAUUAAUAUAAAUA
rnacentral:tRNA from 1 species